rnacentral:misc_RNA from 1 species
AACGGUCUAUACCUGCGGUACCUGCGGAAGGAUCAUUAUCGAGGAAAUUCCGGCCGAGGGGCACUGCCCCGGAGCUGAAAUAUUCUACCCUGUCCUUUAGAUACCUCUACCUCCUCCCCGGCCACAGCGCCGGGCUGGCUACUCAAAAGAACCUUGCAGUUUACAGUCAAUUCAGUACAAAAACAAACAAAAUUACAACUUUCAGCAAUGGAUCUCU